UGUGGUGUCUAUAGCGGAGGGGUCACACCCGAUUCCAUUCCGAACUCGGCCGUUAAGCCCUCCUGCGGUGAUGGUACUGUACGGGAAGCCGUGUGGGAGAGUAGCGCGAUGCCACAA
rfam:Deltaproteobacteria bacterium RIFCSPHIGHO2_02_FTLL_38_15 rifcsphigho2_02_scaffold_6312, whole genome shotgun sequence.